AUGGAGAGAGAAAGGGAGUGGGGUGAUCAGGACGCCAGCAGGGUCUCAGGACCCGUUUUUGUGCUGAGCCCUGAAGCUGUGAGCACAGAUACUCAGUACUUCGGCGCUGGCACCCGGCUGUUGGUGCUAGGCGCCACCCUGACCUUCGGGGCCGGCAGCCGGCUGACCGUGAUGGAUGACCUGAGCCAGGUGAGCCCACCCAAGGUGGCUGUGUUCGAACCAUCGGAAGCAGAGAUCGCCCGGACCCAGAAGGCCACGCUCGUGUGCCUGGCCACGGACUUCUACCCCGACCACGUGGAGCUGAGCUGGUGGGUGAACGGGAAGCAGGUCCAGACCGGGGUCAGCACGGACCCUCAGCCCUACAGGGAGGACCCCAGCCGCAAUGACUCCCGCUACUGUCUGAGCAGCCGGCUGAGGGUCUCGGCCGCCUUCUGGUCCAACCCCCGCAACCACUUCCGCUGCCAAGUCCAGUUCCACGGGCUCACGGACGAGGACGACUGGCCCAAGCAGGACAGGCCCAAACCCAUCACCCAGAACCUCAGUGCCGAGGCCUGGGGCCAAGCAGACUGUGGUGUCACCUCGGUGUCCUAUCAUCAAGGCGUCCUGUCUGCCACCAUCCUCUAUGAGAUCCUCCUGGGGAAGGCCACCCUGUAUGCUGUGCUGGUCAGCGCCCUGGUGCUGAUGGCCACGGUCAAGAGAAAGGAUUCCUGAAGCCAGCUGAGAGGGGGAGCCAGGAGCUUCCAGCCUGCUAUUGCCCUGAUGUGAAUUCUGCUUUUUGCAUUCCUACCCAGUGCUUCAGAAGAGCUGCUCUCAUCUCUCUACUCAUCCCAGUAUCUACCUACCAUAUGCAUGCACCCCAAACACUCAUGUCCACGAUCCCGCUAACCCAGGGUGGGGGGGAUCCUAGAGGGCUUGAACUGACUCAGCCAAUAAAUAUGGCCUGAUCUGGCUUGAC